UAGGGCUUGGGCCAAUUGGGUUUAAUCCAAUUGGCCCAAGCCCUAU
ensembl:miRNA gmo-mir-11215 gmo-mir-11215